rnacentral:rRNA from 1 species
GCGUCAGCUCGUGUCGUGAGAUGUUCGGGUUAAGUCCCGCAACCGAGCGCAACCCUCGCCUCUAGUUGCCAGCAUUCGGUUGGGCACUCUAGAGGGACUGCCGGCGACAAGUCGGAGGAAGGUGGGGAUGACGUCAAAUCAUCAUGCCCCUUAUGACCUGGGCUACACACGUGCUACAAUGGGCGGUACAAAGGGCUGCGAACCCGCGAGGGGGAGCGAAUCCCAAAAAGCCGCUCUCAGUUCGGAUUGCAGGCUGCAACUCGCCUGCAUGAAGCCGGAAUCGCUAGUAAUCGCGGAUCAGCAUGCCGCGGUGAAUACGUUCCCGGGCCUU